GUGCACCAGUCGCGAAUCUUCCCCAAUGGACGAAAGUCUGAGGGAGCGACGCCGCGUGAAUGAAGAAGCCCUUCGGGGUGUAAAAUUCUUUUCUUUAGGAAAAAUUCGUGAUGGUACUAAAGGAAUAAGGGGCCGCCAAACUCGUGCCAGCAGCGGCGGUAAUACGAGUGCCCCGAGCGUUAUCCGGAAUUACUGGGCGUAAAGCGCUAAAAGGCGGUUUGAUAAGUCAAGACGUCAAAUCUCCGAGCUCAACUCGGAGCCGGUGUCUGAAACUGUCUAACCUGAGGACGGAAGAGGCAAGCGGAAUGGCUGGUGUAGCAGUAAAAUGCGUUAAUAU
rnacentral:rRNA from 1 species